AUGGCCCACGCCGGCGCCGCCAAGCCCGAUCCGGAGAAGAAGUCCUGGGCCGACGUCGAGGAGGAGGAGGAGGCCAAGGCCAAGGCGGAGGCGGAGGCCGAGCUCGCCGCCGCCGCCGCCUCCUCCUGCUCCUCCUCCUCCGCCCCCAUCGAGCCGGUGGUGGAGGCGCAGGCGAAGCAGAUCGAGGCGCUCUCGCUCUCCGUGCCGGACGACGACGGCGGCGCCGAGGGCCCGCCCCUGCUCGACGACUCCGACGACUCCCAAAUCCAAGCCGUGACCUCGGGCGGCACGGUGUACGAGUCGGCCACGACCUUCGAGGACGUGAAGCUCACCCCCGAGCUGCUCAAGGGGCUGCACGACGAGAUGGGGUUCAGCCGCCCCAGCAAGAUCCAGGCCAUCACGCUCCCCAUGAUCCUCACGCCGCCCUACAGGGACCUCGUCGCGCAGGCGCACAACGGCUCCGGCAAGACCACCUGCUUCGUCCUCGGCAUGCUCAGCCGCGUCGACCCCAACCGCAAGAUGCCCCAGGCCAUCUGCAUCUGCCCCACCAGGGAGCUCGCGCAGCAGAAUAAAUCUGUGCUCAUGAGGAUGGGCAAGUUUACCGGCAUUACCUGUGCCUGUGCAACCCCGCCGGCUCAGAAAGAUUAUAUGCCCAUCAGCAAAAUGGCUCCGGUGACCGAUCAGGUGGUGAUUGGCACUUCUGGGACGCUCACCAAGUGGAUUACCCAUAAGAAGCUUGCCACUAGGGAGAUCAAGAUUCUUGUGUUCGACGAGGCAGACCAUAUGCUUGCCGAGGAGGGCUUUAAGACUGAUUCUUUAAGGAUCAUGAAGGAUAUACAAAAUAGUGCUGGCGGUUGCCAGGUGCUUCUCUUCUCUGCGACCUUCAAUGAGAAAGUGAAGGAGUUUGUUACAAAGGCCAUUAAGGACGGAAACCAAAUAUUUGUGAAGAAGGAAGAUCUUACUUUGGAAAAAGUAAAGCAAUAUAAAGUCCGAGUCCCUGAUGAGGCGGCCAAAAUAGAGGUUAUAAGGGACAAGAUCUUUGAGUUUGGGCAAAAGGUUGGACAGGUUAUCAUCUUUGUGAGAACAAGAAAUAGUACUAAGAAUGUACAUAAUGCUUUGACAAAAGAGGACUAUGUGUGCUCCUCAAUUCAAGGAUCCCUUGACCAAGCAGAGAGGGAAAAAGUAAUUCAGGAAUUCAAAGAUGGGUACACCAAGGUUCUUAUAUCAACUGAUGUUCUUGCUCGAGGUUUUGACCAAGCACAGGUUAACCUGGUCAUCAACUACGACAUGCCAAUCAAGUAUAAUACGAGAGAUGAACCUGAUUAUGAGGUGUACCUGCACAGAAUUGGCAGAGCUGGGCGCUUUGGCCGAAAAGGAGCUGUGUUCAACCUGCUAUGUGGUCAAACUGAUGAAGUUGUGAUGACAAAGAUCGAGGACUACUUCCAGCACAAAGUGCCUGAGGUCCCCAACUGGAAAAGCGAGGACAAUUUUGAGACUGCUCUUAAGGAUGCGGGUUUACUUGAGUAA
rnacentral:rRNA from 1 species